UUUAAUUAUUGUGAAUCCACUCCAAUCGAAUAUUGAAUAAUCAAAUUCUU
rnacentral:tRNA from 1 species